rnacentral:rRNA from 1 species
AGUGAACGCUGGCGGUAGGCCUAACACAUGCAAGUCGAACGGCAGCACAGUAAGAGCUUGCUCUUACGGGUGGCGAGUGGCGGACGGGUGAGGAAUACAUCGGAAUCUACUUUUUCGUGGGGGAUAACGUAGGGAAACUUACGCUAAUACCGCAUACGACCUACGGGUGAAAGCAGGGGAUCUUCGGACCUUGCGCGAUUGAAUGAGCCGAUGUCGGAUUAGCUAGUUGGCGGGGUAAAGGCCCACCAAGGCGACGAUCCGUAGCUGGUCUGAGAGGAUGAUCAGCCACACUGGAACUGAGACACGGUCCAGACUCCUACGGGAGGCAGCAGUCGGGAAUAUUGGACAAUGGGCGCAAGCCUGAUCCAGCCAUACCGCGUGGGUGAAGAAGGCCUUCGGGUUGUAAAGCCCUUUUGUUGGGAAAGAAAAGCAGCAGGUUAAUACCCCGCUGUUCUGACGGUACCCAAAGAAUAAGCACCGGCUAACUUCGUU